AUCUCUUUAAAGAAACGAAGCUCGAACUCCGACGAUGUCACCAGAGGUCGCUGUUUUUCAAGCGUAUCGACAUGUCUUUAUAUACUACCACACCGAUAUCUCACGCAACCUAC